rnacentral:rRNA from 1 species
UACGUAGGCAGCAAGCGUUGUUCGGAGUUACUGGGCGUAAAGGGUGUGUAGGCGGUCAUUUAAGUUUGGUGUGAAAUCUCCCGGCUCAACCGGGAGGGUGCGCCGAAUACUGAAUGACUUGGAGUGCGGGAGAGGAAAGUGGAAUUCCUGGUGUAGCGGUGAAAUGCGUAGAUAUCAGGAGGAACACCGGUGGUGUAGACGGCUUUCUGGACCGUAACUGACGCUGAGACACGAAAGCGUGGGUAGCGAACAGG